GCGAUGGCGAGGGUCAAGGUCAGGAUGAUGGUGAUAGGGCGAGGAUGAGGAUGCGGUGUAGGAUGUGAAAUAUAUCGGAUUUGAUUUUUAAGUACACGUUUGGAGAGAGUGUUGUAUGGUUCCAAAUUAAGAACAAUCAUCAAGGGCCCUCCUCUUAAGGGUGUGGAGUACUUUGAUAAUGAUUUAGUUUUUGUUUUCAUAGAUGCUAAUUAAAUAGGAACCAACAAUUUUGGGGUGAUAUCAUAGCUUUAUCAGCUGGCACAAGCUUGGUACAUUUUAUGAGAUCACUACUUAUGAUGUUAAAUAUUAGGUCUUUGGCAAGGAGGCAGAAGACAGACAUCUUGAUAUGUGUUCAUGGAAGGUAUUUUCAUCUGCACAAGAUAUGAAUUCAAAACAAAUCAUGAAGAAUGGGUAAAUUUAGUCAAACCCAAGCUAGGACCUGAUGUGUCUGAUCGAGUUCUUGCAGCAAUUAAUACCACACACGAGAACAUUAAAAUUUUAUAUAAAGUCAGAAUUGAGAUGUGGGCUGCCCUUCAAAAUCUCUUAAAGGAGAUUGGAAGCUUGACUUUUGACAAAGAUGAUCAGUUAGCUAAGGAGUUUGUUAUUGCUGCUGCAAAUACAAGGAUGUCUUCUUUUUUGAACCUCUUUGCAUAGCCUAUUUAAAGCCAAAGGUCCAGAACAACACCAUAUACUGAAGCUGAGGGAUGUGUAUGGAGGCCGCUUUAGUAGACAAUGAUUUGCGUUAAAGAUGUGCUCUUGUGAUUCAUGGAAUGCAAUCAUGUCAUUUUGUAGGAGGUUAAACAAGAAUUAUUUUUGACUCUUUUUUGUAGGAAUGAUCCACAAGAGACACACACUUUGUUCCAAAUCAGUUAUGAAAUGAGGUACAUUGUUUAUGAAAUAAGGCAUCAAAAGAACUUAGUGAUUAAUGAGAUCUCAUGCACAUUGAAGAGGACCCAACUAUAGAUGUCUGGAUGGUAGAUGUGAGUCACUAUGUUUUUAAAAUUUCCAAUGAAUUGGUCUUGAAGGUAGAUGAACAAUGUAAAUUUAAGAGUGUAAAGAGCAGUAGGCAAAGUAGUUGAGUUGUAUUGAUUUUUACAGUUUAUUUGUUAUUAAAUUUUGAUUAAUGUGAAA